GAGCUAAAAUGGCGGAGGUUGUGAGUCCCUGCUUUGACUCUGUUUGCAAACUCUUGUUUCAUUGUUUAAGCGAUUAAAUCUCUCGAGUAGACGCUGUCUCUUUAGAUGCGAGGGCAAAAUAGCACUUUAUGGACUUCCACAGAGGACAUCAUGUUUAAUACGGUUCCGGAAAAAUCCAGUCAGAAGUUGUUCACGGAGUUUUCACAAUAACUGCUUCUCAUGAACCGAAGCUGGAUUUGCGCGACGUCUCCUCUUGAAAGUUGGAUUACUGUGCACUUCUGGAUCACAGACUAUUCGCAGCUGGACACAUCCUUCUACACUGUAUGCAAACAUGCAACAUCAUUACACACAGUACAAGGAGUCAGACUGGCAUAUGAGGAGCAAAGGAACCCAGACAGUAGCAUCGUUUCACAAUGUUUCCAUCACCAUCAUCAGUGGAUGCCUUUGCCGUCCGUAGCCUGAGAUUUCAGAUUUGCAGCAAAAAAAUUUGAUUUUCUCAUUUAUUGGAAUGCUGUGCAGGUAUUUGUACCUUGCAGCCAUCCAUUACAAUGUCACCAAGCCGUAACAAAAGCAGGAGAGGGAAAGUACAAGGCUAUGUUCCCAAAACACACAAGUGACAUACCUUAUGUGGAGGAUGUGAUCAGGCUUGUGUUUGAUGAGGUAUUUGAAGAUAAGCUGAAGGAAACCCCGAUUCCAAUGGACCUGGCAUCACAGUUUGAGAGACCUUCAAAGGAGGACGUGAUUG